rnacentral:sRNA from 1 species
UCCGUAGGUGAACCUGCGGAAGGAUCAUUACCACACCAAGAUCCAUGAUCUUCCCUAUGAGAAGUUUCCUAGGAUGGUUAACCCGCAACAUAUGCGUUGAGCCCAAUACGGAUAGUCUCCGCAUGCGCGUUUUCGGUCCAACCCCUUCAUUACAAACAUAAACCUACUUAUUAUUCUGCAAAAGGACCGCAAGGUUCCUAAAACCAUUUACAACUUUCAGCAAUGGAUGUCUUGGCUCCCACAACGAGGAAGAACGCAGCGAAAUGCGAUACGUAGUGCGAAUUGCAAUACCUCGUGAAUCAUCAAAAUUUUGAACGCACAUUGCGCUGUCUGGGAAUUCCUGGCAGCAUGUUUGUCUGAGUGUCAGUGGAACCCCACUUGUCUGAACCUUGUUCACGACAGAAUAUGGAGAUUGAUUUUAUCUUCUCUAAAGUGUAUUUCACAGCGAUGCUUCCUGAGCGUUGAUUAAGACUUGUAACAUGUUUCACAGUUGAUGUCAACAUGCACAGCAGCAUUAUUUCCAACACCCUGAUCUCAGCUCAAACAAGAAGACCCGCUGAAUUUAAGCAUAUCAAUAAGCGGAGGA